UGAUUUUCUGUCGUUUAGCUGUGAGGAUGAACAAACCAUUGAACAUCAUCUUGUGAGGGAAGCUGCUUUGAGCGGGGGGCUGCACAAGAGGCCUCCUGAGGCCUUGUUUCCUUGGGUGCCCCGCCUGAAAGGCCAAUCCAUCACCCUGUGAUCCCAUGCCAGCAGACACACCGGGCUGACUCCGCUUUGGACUUGCCAUUCCUCCCUCCCCAGCUGCAAAUUGCUACUUUCUCAGGGGAUUGCCAGAUCAUUCCCUUGCAGGCUGAGCUGUGACCCUGCUCCUUUCUUCCCCUGGCCGGCAGAUGAUGUCUGAGCAUAUUGGUGUCUGAUCAGAAGCUGACCCCAGAGUUUCAGAGGCUUCCUGCAGAAUUGUAUGAUCCUGGUGAAUUUAGAAAAUAUGCCAUCUCCUAACUGAAAAUUUAUCCAAGAUAUUAAAAAAAAGAAUAAGGAAUGAAUGAAGGAAAGUAUUUCAACAGCAAGAGUGGGCCUUGCUCCCAAGUUUAAGGGUCAAGACUUAAACAAAAUCUUCGUUGAAGAUUGUCUCGAUGUGAACAGCUGCACCUGCUAACAGAGCUUAGUUAACAAUCAAGGUCUUCUAACUGGAAAAGGAGCCAUAUCUCUUCUAAGAGUUACUGCCAAAUGGAGCAUAUUGUAGAAUUCAGCUGUCACUAAGCCUGGAGGACUUGAGCUUUUUCAUAAUAAAAUCUGCCUUCAAAUUCUCUGUAGGCAAGCAAACCAACUGCUUCUUUCAAAUUGUGAGUUUAGUCAUUUGAAGUUUCCUUAACUGGAUUCUCAAGACUUUUUACAGCUGGUGAACAUCUAAUUAGCACACUUUCAAGUAAUUGGCUCUCCAUGGCAAACAUGAUCAGGAGAAUUUUUUAAAAAAAACUGAAGGACUUACUCUGCCUGAGUGUUGACCAUAUUUCAGCUCAUCCAAAAAAGUUGUAACUCAAAGAUGUAGAAAAUAAUAGUACUCUGGAGCCUCCUUUUAUCGUAAACCAGCAGAUUAAGUAAGGAGAAGAGGAUAUAUAAAGCCUAACCCAUCAAAUUGUCCUUUGACAAAAGAGUAAGGAAAAAAAAAAAAGCAAACACAAAGCAAUCAUCUUAUAAAACACUGACACUAAGCAUUCCAAACACCACAAAGGUGUAAUGUCACUUUUGGAUCCAUUUAGAUGUAUUCCUUUACAGGCUUCAGAGAUAAAUCUUUAGAGAUGCUGAAUUCCUAUCAUUCAUUGCAUUCAUUGAGAGAUGUGGAGAUCUAAAUCACUCUUGAACUGUUACAGAAGAAACACUGACUUGGAUUUAGAAAAAAACUGAGAUUUCUCAUGGAUCCUGAAGAAGUCUGUGAUGGAACACUGCACUAUUCUAAGACAUAUAAACCUUUAGGAAGGGGAGAACACUGACUCCUUCUGGUGGAGUCAUCACUACAUUUCAGGAGGCAGACUGUUUUUUCUACAUGGAUAUCCUUGACAAAAAUAUCAAUGUACCCUUGUAAAAUGUACCCAAAUGCAUGACAAGAUGUGAGAACAAAAAAAUGAAUUAGAUCAAUUUCAUAUGCAGAGAAGCAGCCACAGCUAAAAAGGCCAUUAAUCCAAAAUUAAAUGCAACUGAAUAAAUAACAUUCCUAUUCUCUCUUCUUCCAAGGAAAAAAUGGCUCCUAUAAUAACCUGUGUCUCUGAGAUAAAUGAAUGCAUUGAAGUUCUUAACUACUCUUUGAUGGACUACAAAUGGACACUAUGCAAGACAAUAUUUGAGCAGUAAUGAUUUGUCCUUCUUCAAGUGUAAGCUGAUUGCAAAGGCUUUAAGACCAUAGAUGAAAUAGCUAAAGGGGUCAUGAAUCUUAAUAGCUUCUAAAUCAGAGAGAUCUGCAACUUACAUGCUCUGACUGAAAUGUGCAUGGAAUGUAUAAAUAUUAAUAGGUCUGGCAAGAGCUCAGCAGACAAGCUGUCUAAAAUUUCACAGUGGGAAGACUGGAGAUUGAGGCUGCUGUGUACAAAUCAGCUGAGAAGCUCCUACCUGGAAAUGAACUGUCAGCAUGUGUGUAAAUACAGUUUUCCUGAAGUGAUAUUUAACAUUCCAAGCUUCCCUGGUACAUAGGCGCUAUAUGCAUCCAUGUCGAAUGCAGUCAGUUUAUUUAGAAUUAUCAACAUGCACACAAAGUCAAGUGCCAGCUCUGAGGAAAGGAAGGAUAAUCUGUGCCACAUGUCUGAAGCUUGCUCUGAUGAGUAUUCUGCUAAUGCUAAGAGAACUUACGAGUGAGAACCUUGAGGAAGUU